GGGCGGUUAGCCUAGUGGUAAGGUGUUCUCCCGGCAUGAGAAAGACGUGGGGUUCGAUUCCUCACACCACACU
rnacentral:tRNA from 1 species